GGAUUUUUUUUUUUUUCCUUCUUGGGGGGUAGGGGCUUCAAGACUCCAUUCAUUGAAUGCCAUAACAUUGUUGAAAGCAAUGUUUCUGGCUUUUCUUCUGUGCAUUUGUUUGAUUUGGUUAUGCAGUUAGGUUCACGUGCCUGUCUUAAUUUUUUAUCUCUGCUAGUGUGCUUAUCAAACCAAACCAACCAUCUAUACCAACUCUUUAUGUGAAUGACUCACGAGCUCUGCUGCUUUUUAAUUUUUGUUAUUUGAUUACACUAUUACAACGUGCUCAACUCUGCUAAUACUUUUCUGGGUAUUUAUUUAAAAGAUGAUACAUGACUCUAGAAAGUAUUGGGUAGUGAUGUGAGCUUGGGUGGACAUUGAGAUCAAGAGCUGUAGAGUUGGAUUUUGUGAUUACAGAGGCUUUCCUUUUAUUCCAAGGAAAUUUAAAAUGUUCAUAUCUAGUACUUGGAACAAUGUCCUUAUGCUAUUUACUUUAAUCAACAGGUUUUAUGAAGGCACUGUUAA
rnacentral:misc_RNA from 1 species